rnacentral:rRNA from 1 species
AAAAUAAAAUUUGAUUUUAAAAAAAUUUAUUUUUUAAACUAGGAUUAGAUACCCUAUUAUUUUAAGCUUAAUGUUGGUAGUAAGUAAAAUUUAUGAAAUCAUAAAAUUUUGGCGGUAUUUUAAGCUUGUUAGAGGAAUUUGCUCUAUAAUGGAUACAACGCCUACAUCUUACUUAAUUUUGUAAUUAAAGUCAGUUUGUAUACCACUAUAUUUAAUUAUAUUGAAUAAUUAUAUUUAAGAUUUUUAUAUAAAUAUAUAUUAAGUCAAGGUGCAACAAAUAAUUA